GUGGAAGGUUGUAUUAUGUAAUCACCUUUUAGGUAGAAAUUAGCAGGUGGAAAUUAGACGAUGACUAUCGAUCAUGUGUGCAGGAAUAUGCAAUGCAAUUACGGUUUGUAAAAUAUUCCUUUUUCUCAUUCAUGUUACUCUAUAUACUAAUUCAAUGGUCGUUCAUUCUGCUCUGAAACAGACUGAAAAGUCCAUUCAAUCCCUUUUCUUUCUACAGUCAACACAUGAUCAGCAGGGACUGCAGCAGCUAAAAUCUCCCAAACAAAAGGAAAUGGAAAAAAAUAAAACAUGGGAAGAAAGAAGCUAUAUGUGUGUGUGUGUGUGUGUAUGUAUUGUUUGGAUUGUUUUGACUUGCUUAUGUAUUGUUUUUAGUUGAUAACUUUUUUACUUUGUUAUUGUAUUAGUUUUUCUAAUGUUUGGUGCAGAGAAAUAGUAAUUAGCCUGUCAAGAUGGUGUGAAGCGUUUUUGGGGUUUUUCUUUUUUUGAGAUUAUAUUGUUGAUAUCCUUUGAAAAAUAGGAUAUGAUGAGUUGAUUGGGAUGGUUAUAUAUCAUCAAUUUAUAGGAGAUUUUUGGAAGAGUGGAUUAAAUUUAUUUGUUUAAAAAAGGAC
rnacentral:lncRNA from 1 species